UAUAGUAAAUAUAGUUUGUGUGAUAUUGAGGAAGAAAACCAUGGUACUUGGCAGAACUUCACAGAGUUGGAGUAUUUGCUUCUUGGAUUGGUCUCAGCUGUUCCUUCAUUCUUGAUACCAAUGCUGCUAGUUGGUAAGGCUGAUAGAAACUUGCAUUGGAAGGAUCGCUAUUGGG